UGGCGGCAGGCCUAACACAUGCAAGUCGAACGGUAACAGGAAGCAGCUUGCUGCUUCGCUGACGAGUGGCGGACGGGUGAGUAAUGUCUGGGAAACUGCCUGAUGGAGGGGGAUAACUACUGGAAACGGUGGCUAAUACCGCAUAACGUCGCAAGACCAAAGAGGGGGACCUUCGGGCCUCUUGCCAUCAGAUGUGCCCAGAUGGGAUUAGCUUGUUGGUGAGGUAACGGCUCACCAAGGCGACGAUCCCUAGCUGGUCUGAGAGGAUGACCAGCCACACUGGAACUGAGACACGGUCCAGACUCCUACGGGAGGCAGCAGUGGGGAAUAUUGCACAAUGGGCGCAAGCCUGAUGCAGCCAUGCCGCGUGUAUGAAGAAGGCCUUCGGGUUGUAAAGUACUUUCAGCGGGGAGGAAGGUGUUGUGGUUAAUAACC
rnacentral:rRNA from 1 species